rnacentral:rRNA from 1 species
AGCGCAGGUGGUUUAUUAAGUCUGGUGUAAAAGGCAGUGGCUCAACCAUUGUAUGCAUUGGAAACUGGUAGACUUGAGUGCAGGAGAGGAGAGUGGAAUUCCAUGUGUAGCGGUGAAAUGCGUAGAUAUAUGGAGGAACACCGGUGGCGAAAGCGGCUCUCUGGCCUGUAACUGACGCUGAGGCUGAAAGCGUGGGGAGCAAACA